AUUUUAUGCAAGCUGUGGCAAUUGCAAUUUGCAGUGAAAAGCCGGUGCCAAAUUUAACAUCAUAGCAGAGGUCAUCAUCUUAUAUAUUUUGUUCUGUUAAAAUUAUUGUUUGUCUUGUAACUUAUGCCGUUAUGUUGUUUUUUUUACAAUGCCAUGUUUAAAAUGUUAUAAUCACUGGAAAAUGUGCAACUAAUAAAAGUUUGAAUUACUUGUGUAAGAGUUAA